rnacentral:rRNA from 1 species
AUUGAACGCUGGCGGUAUGCUUAACACAUGCAAGUCGAACGAAGAGGGGGUGCUUGCACUCCUAAUUAGUGGCGGACGGGUGAGUAACGCGUAGGAAUCUAGCUAUUAGUGGGGGACAACGUGUGGAAACGCACGCUAGUACCGCAUACGCCCUACGGGGGAAAGGAGGGGACCUUCGGGCCUUUCGCUAACAGAUGAGCCUGCGUUGGAUUAGCUAGUUGGUAGGGUAAAGGCCUACCAAGGCGACGAUCCAUAGCCGGUCUGAGAGGACGAUCAGGCACACUGGAACUGAGACACGGUCCAGACACCUACGGGUGGCAGCAGUCGAGAAUAAUUCACAAUGGGGGCAACCCUGAUGGUGCAACGCCGCGUGGAGGAUGACGGUCUUCGGAUUGUAAACUCCUGUCAUCCGGGAGUAAGACCUGGCUGUGAAUAGCAGACAGGGUUGAUAGUACCGGAAGAGGAAGGGACGGCUAACUUCGUGCCAGCCGCCGCAGUAAGAC